GAUGAACGCUAGCGGCAGGCCUAAUACAUGCAAGUCGAGCGGCAAGUUGAGAAGCAAUUCGAGACCUAGAGCGGCGUACGGGUGCGUAACGCGUAUGCAACCUACCUCAUACAGGGGGAUAGCCCGGAGAAAUCUGGAUUAAUACCCCAUAGUACAUAUAGAGGGCAUCUGAAAUAUGUUAAAGAUUCAUCGGUAUGAGAUGGGCAUGCGUCUGAUUAGCUAGUUGGCGGUGUAACGGACCACCAAGGCGACGAUCAGUAGGGGUUCGAAGAGGAAGGCCCCCAACACUGGAAGUGGGAUACGGGCCAGACUCCUACGGGAGGCAGCAGUAGGGAAGAUUGGGCAAUGGUCGGAGGACUGACCCAGCCAUGCCGCGUGCAGGAAGAAGGCCCUCUGGGUUGUAAACUGCUUUUAUCUGGGAAGAAAAGGCCCGUGCGCGGGACAUUGCCGGUACCAGAUGAAUAAGCACCGGCUAACUCCGUGCCAGCCGCCGCCGUAAUAC
rnacentral:rRNA from 1 species